rnacentral:sRNA from 1 species
UAAUGUUGAAAAGUGAGUGGUGCAGUAUUCUAGUCAGUCCUCCAUUCUCGAAGGCGGGCCUAAAAAUCCGCUAAAGGGCACAUCGAUGAAGUUCCUAGUAUUGGCUUGAGGCGCCCAGCCUUGGGUCGUUGCUGGGAGUAAAGGAAUUAGGGCGAUCCACAAUGGCAUGUGGGCGUUGACCCUCUUUCCGCGGAGGCCAAAACUUGUGGCAAUCUCCUGGGAAUGAGAACGUUACGAGUUUCGGUAUGAACCUGCAUAGCAAGUUUCCCCUUGUUUGCAGCGUAGCCUGCCUUGAGUGGAGUUAGAGGGGAUUAUGGAUACUAAAUUGUAUACACUGUAUGAUAAGUUUAGUAAUUCACAUGAAAUCUACUCUGCAAAAGAGGAUAGAGGAUGGUUAAGGGCUGUUGAGGAAAACUCCUAGACUGUUCGUAUGACAUUUAAAGGGGAUUAUAGUGCGUGCUAAGUGGUAAUCCAGUCUAGCGUUUGGUGACAGCGCUAAGGCAGAUUUAAAGGGAAACCGCCAAUGUGGCGACACGUCGGCAUUUGCUUGGGAAAACCUACUGGACCUAAGACGCAGUCUUUACUCUUUGAAUGGCCACUCAUAAAUACAUACUA